rnacentral:rRNA from 1 species
AGCUUGCUCUCGGGUGACGAGCGGCGGACGGGUGAGUAAUGUCUGGGAAACUGCCUGAUGGAGGGGGAUAACUACUGGAAACGGUAGCUAAUACCGCAUAACGUCGCAAGACCAAAGUGGGGGACCUUCGGGCCUCAUGCCAUCAGAUGUGCCCAGAUGGGAUUAGCUAGUAGGUGGGGUAAUGGCUCACCUAGGCGACGAUCCCUAGCUGGUCUGAGAGGAUGACCAGCCACACUGGAACUGAGACACGGUCCAGACUCAUACGGGAGGCAGCAGUGGGGAAUAUUGCACAAUGGGCGCAAGCCUGAUGCAGCCAUGCCGCGUGUAUGAAGAAGGCCUUCGGGUUGUAAAGUACUUUCAGCGAGGAGGAAGGCGUUAAGGUUAAUAACCUUGGCGAUUGACGUUACUCGCAGAAGAAGCACCGGCUAACUCCGUGCCAGCAGCCGCGGUAAUACGGAGGGUGCAAGCGUUAAUCGGAAUUACUGGGCGUAAAGCGCACGCAGGCGGUUUGUUAAGUCAGAUGUGAAAUCCCCGGGCUCAACCUGGGAACUGCAUUUGAAACUGGCAAGCUUGAGUCUUGUAGAGGGGGGUAGAAUUCCAGGUGUAGCGGUGAAAUGCGUAGAGAUCUGGAGGAAUACCGGUGGCGAAGGCGGCCCCCUGGACAAAGACUGACGCUCAGGUGCGAAAGCGUGGGGAGCAAACAGGAUUAAUACCCUGGUAGUCCACGCUGUAAACGAUGAUCUACUUGGAGGUUGUUCCCUUGAGGAGUGGCUUCCGGAGCUAACGCGUUAAGUCGACCGCCUGGGGAGUACGGCCGCAAGGUUAAAACUCAAAUGAAUUGACGGGGGGCCCGCACAAGCGGGGAGCAUGUGGUUUAAUUCGAUG